CUAAAACUAACUACUGACGCAAAAUGGGGAGGUGAAUAACCCACCAAUUACAUACAUCAAACACUUUGGAAAAUAAAUUUCAAACGAUAGAAAAGAAAAA